rnacentral:lncRNA from 1 species
CGCAUGGCUCCCCGUUUUCUUCUUUGGGAUUUCUGUCGUCUCGACCAUGUUCCUGUCCCGGUUUUUCUCUUUUGGCCGGGUGGUCCUCGCACUUUCCCAUUUCACUUCUGUGUCGUGGAGCGGCGACCUCUGGCUUGGCGCGGUGGAGAGUUUGCCGUGUCUGAGGUCCGCCUUGUGCUCUUUUGUCCUGUCCUCCAGGUUCCUUUCUGUGUGGCCUGCAUGAGGUUCCUCCCUGUCCGGGGAGUGAUUGGUUGAGGGGAUCUCGUGCGCUCCACCUCUGACCUUGUCCUCAUGCCUGUCCUUGUCAUUUCUGGUUGUCUCAAACAGGCGGAUUCCUUUUGAAACGGUGUACAACCCGCCGGGUCGCCGGUGUCCUUGGCAAGCUUUUCUGCCCAUAGGGCCUGG